CACAGUUGUUAUGAGUUUCAUGGGAGAUUUACUGAUUCCUUCUGCAGAUAUCUCAUUUUCCUGCUGAUACGACUGCCUGCUUUCCUCGCAGUAAAUCUUUAUUAUCUCACUUUACUUCUCCAUUUUCUCCUUCCUUUCUAGUCACGCUGGCUGCUGCCGUUUUUCCCCCUGAACUUCGCUGAGACCUGCUUCUCUAUCCCUGUGCUGUGUGUCCACACCUAGAUACGCUGCUAUCAUGUCUACUCAUUCAUUUACGUUUGCACACAAGCCUUCCUGACUUUCUUGCAUCCGCCCUCCAGAGACACCACCAUUUUGCUGGAAAGGACCACCUUGUGGUAGCACCAGGCAUAUAUUUCUCCCCUUUCUCUCCAGUGCUUCCUGCUCUUUCCCUUUAAAACAUUUCUUUGCUGAAGCAGCUAAGUGGUUGCACAACAUAAUCCUGUAUAAAGCUGGCAGAAAUGCUCUUUCAGAGCAUUUUUGUUUAACUCUUUCCUGUCCAUUUUAUGCAGGUUUCAAAGGCCCAUGAGUAAUCUUUUAAGGAAUUGUCACUACACAUACAUCUUUUAGGAUCUAUGGGUUCCUGUAGAUUUUGCACCAUAUAUUUUUCUUUGUUUCUACAUUGUCCCCAAAGCUGACCACAAUGGACUUGGACUACAUCAUUGGCCUGUAUGCAUGUCCCCCUGGCUUCUGGGCUUGGUUCAGAAUAUGAGAGACACUGGCAGCAAGGGAGGACACUAAAGCAGGAUUUAUUGUCCUGCUUCUCUCCCUGUGGGGUUUGCUUUAGGCUGGCAGCAUCACAGUUGCCAGAGCUCCUAUGCUACACAAAACUGUCUCCAUGGAACUGCACACUUUGGGUUCUGUAAUUGCUUCCUCCCUUUACCCUCUGGUAUGGAUUCCUUUUGUGUUAUUUUCCAAGCUCUGACCUACCCCUGUCUGGUCUCCCCAAAUCCUGCUCACACUCCUGGAGAUGAAUCUCAUUACUUAACCCUCAUCAGAGUUAUUGCAAUGGUGACAUCAGCCUCUUGAACUGACUGAUGCAGCCAUCAGUGUGUCAAGCAGUUAGGUACGGUUGUUGCCUUCAGGGAACCUGAGUUGUACAAUGAAACCAACCAUGCACACACGUAAGUGAAUUGGGAUUUAUGGGACUUAUGACGGAAGCAGAUGCAAGGCACAGACAAGCACAAGAAAGAAGUUGAUUGGUUCUGUGGGGAACAGUGUCAGAGAGGACUUCCUGGAGUAAUGCUUGAAAGAUAUCUGAAAAGAUGAGCUUGUUAUCAAGGACUGAUGAAAGGCAGGGCUGGGGCUGGGGCAGAAAGGCCAGUCUGGAAGGAAAGUGGAAGUAAUGCAGCCAGAGUCCAUGGGGCAUGACCAUGUGUGCAGAUGGCUGCUAACUCACUACAACCAGAGCUUCCAGGAGAAGAAGAGCAUGAAUGAGUCCAGAGAAGCCUAAAGAUCUCAGACAGUGUGAUAUAUCCUACUAAAGAAUUUGAACAUUGUUCUGCAUGCCACGGGGACCCCAGAAAAUUGUUCCUUAGAAAGGGAAGAAAUAAGUUUUGUCUUUAGACAAACAACUUUGGUGACACCAACAUUCAUUUGAAGGGGAAUAAAUUGGACAUGCAAAGAAGAGCACAGAGACAAGAGGUAAGGGGCUGGUGGGAGUAUGAUGAUGCAGAGAUGUGGAGAAGGAAGACCCGGUAAUGCCAGUCCGGGUCCUGGAGUGGAGGAGAAGGGAAAAGACAGCCUCGCAGGAGGCCCUGUUCCUGGGAUGCUGGUUGGUAGUGUCUUUUCUCAUGACACUUCUGGUACACAGGAAGGAUAGGUACUGAGGUGAAACUUAAUAGUGAGUUCGCUUUAGGGGUGAGCUAUCAGCAGAAGCACCAUAUGCAGAAACAAGUUCAGAAAAAGCUCUGGGCUGAGGGUAAGCAUGUGAGCAUCACCUCAAAGUGUGUGCUGCUGCUGCGCACACGUGGCUGGCAUUUCUUGGGAAGGCAGUUGCUUCAUAAGGCAACAAGGAGAGCACCAGCAAAACUUAAGCAAUAAAUUAAAAAUAACCAGUUAUUUAAUAAAGAGCACACCAGGCAUUUCAUAGUUACUCUUUUAUGUACCUUAUUAGAUCUUCACCACAUCUGAGGGUUAUGGGAAUCUUAUUUUUUUAAAUCUCACAAAUGAGGCACUCUGGGGUAGAAAGAUUGGGAGAUUUCAUAGCCGCACACAGUCGUAGAAAUGGGACAAGAAUUCAGACCUUUCACUUUGUUCCUGUACAUCGUACCGCUUCCUUAUUGCUUUAUUUUAGCAAUCUUUAUGAAUAGAAGGCAAGAAAUAAAAAAUAGGAAAAAUAUACACACAGGACUUUUGGGAAACAUAGGAAAUGGCCGUAGCAAUGACAAUGCCUGUCUGUAAUGUGCCACUGUUUAGAUCAUUUUAUUUUGAAGAAUGUAACUAUUUAUUUCACAUGUUUGGAAACUGUUCUUCAAAUUCCAUUUCUCUAAUUUUAAGGUUUUAUUUUAUUUCUCCAGCUCGGUACCUAGAUUUUAAAGAUUAUUUUAAUUAAAAGAUUUAUGUAAUUGGCAUAUAAUAAUUGCAUUCACUUAUAGGGUAGAUUGUGAUGUUCUGAGAAACCUGCUUUGUCCUUUCUUAGCUCACUGUGAUUGCUGGUGUUGCAUUUUCUCACUAUCAUUAGACCAUCUCUCCAAUGUAGGCCACAAUCGAUGAGUUAAAAGAAUUCAGGCUCUCAGAGUGGAGUUCUUCUUGCAGAGCUGGCAUGGUUUUCCUUAUAGCUCACUAUUACACAGAGGGAUGAUUCUGAAAUCAAAUUGGAAAUAGGAAAGGGCAUUUGUACAAGGGCUGUGCUCCACAUUUCCACAGUAGUUUCCUGAAUUGUAAUCUAAAGCUGUGAACUGGAAAUGCUUUGUGAAGAAAAAUGCAAAGAUAAGAGUCCUUAGAUUAAUGUUAAUGCUAUGCAUUAUGCAACAUGACCCAUGCACUAGAAUAUUCUUAUUAGAUAGAUGAUGCCAAUAUAUAAUAAAUUAUGGCUGACUUUCACAGAAAUUACUGGAUAGAUUCAUGACUUACUAAAGAAACAGAGUUUAUCAGGAAGGCCCUUCUACAUGCCCUUGUGCCACUGUCUGACUAACUUGCUGAAACACUAAUAUUUCCUUUAGAGAAACAAAUUGAAUAAGAGGGGACCUACAAUGUGGACCUGCUCCCUCUCUGGAUGAGAAGAAAUGAAUCAUGUAGAAUGCUGCCAUCAUCAAAUUAGAUGCAGAUUUUUCCAAUUUGAUGGGAAGAGGAUAAGGAAGCUCUUUUUCUGAUUGCUUCUAUUUUCUUAAUGAAACAGAAAACAAAGUCACAAUCUGAGUGGAGGGGUGUUAAGAAGGGGUGGGUACAUGAAAGAGAAUGGAGUAGGGCAGAAUGCAGAAAAGUAGAUCUGAAAGACAACAGGAAGAUACUUUGCCUGGAGAGAUGCAGUAGGUUUCACAGCCUUGGGGAGGGCUCCCUUGAUGUCUGUGGACAUUGAUUAAACUUGUCAACUGGGCUGUGAACUUUCCUCAUCCAUGUUCACCAGCAGCAUUGUAAAUUCAUGUAAGUAGAGAAUCAGGCUUAAACAAUAGUAACUGUGGGAAGGCAGGGGGACCAUAGACCUGUGUUUAUGUAAUUAGUUAUCAUCAGGGUCCUAUAUUGCGGAAUCUAAGCUAGUUAAGAGGGAAGAGAAAAUGAGGAGAUCGUAGACAGUACAAAUGGGAAUUGUUGAUUGAUUAAAGAGGUGGUGAAUUCAAAGAAUUGUUGGCAUGGGAUUUCCUAAGGGAAGACAUGGAUUACACAAAUAUCUUAAAUUUUAAAACUUCCAAACAAGAAAAAUAGAAAGGCAAAUGAUCUUGAUGUUAAUAGUUUAGCUGGGAAUACUAUAGCAAAAAGUAUGCAGGGCACAGCAAGGACAUGGAUAUGUUCUUUUGCUAAAUGUCUAAUGGUAUGGUUUGAAUCUGGGGUGGCCCCCAUAAACCUCAUGUGUGUGAAGGCUGAUAGGGUCAUGAGGUGCCAUGCUCAUCCCUAGAUUGAUCCAUCGAUGAGCUUGGCAACUGAGUGUGCUAUUGGAAGGCGGGGUUGAGAUGCAUCACUGGGAACUGACUUAGAAGGGUGCAUCUCCCUCUCCAGCUCCUCCCUUUUCUCUUUACUUCCUGGCUACCAUGACGUGAGCAGCUCUCUUCCGCUGGGCCCUUCUGCCAUGCCCUUCCUGCCUUGGAAUGGACAGCUAUGGGCUGAAAUGUCUAAAGGCCAUGAGCCCAAGUAAACCUCUCCACUUUGAAUUGUGGGUAUCAGGUAAAUUUUGCACCAGUGACAAGAAAAUGACUAAGACAUCUAAUAAAUUAGCUUAAAGUACAUAUUUCAACAGUAUUUUCUUAAUUAUUUGCUAAACAACUUGAAUUUGCUUCAUGCAUGUGAAUUCAUGGACAUCUCAGAUUUUAUAUGAUUUUCAUGCUGUAUAUCUGCCACAUUCAGAGGCACUAGUGCACUUGAAGCAUCUAUUUAAAUGGCUCUCAUUUCAGAGAAUGGCAGGUAAAGGAGAAUUCUGAGAAUGCUGGAGAGACUAAGCUGGUCCUGCCUGCGACUUGGAAUGAAUUAGGAAAUGUACCUUCUCUGCAGAUGCAGAGCACAAAGGCUCCAGAAGCAAAAGGAAGCUCCAGAAAGAAAGGAAACUGCUCCCCUUUCUGCUGAUAGGAGACCCAGCACCAGGACUCGCAGCCUGGGUGUUGGAGGACUGGUCCUUGUAAGCCUGCUUGUCUCUUGCAUGCGUGUCCUUGUGCAGUGCACAAGCUGCCUCACUCCUCAGAGCCACCCUGUUCAAAUAACUCUGAAGAUUAAGGAUUGUCAACUGUGUGUAACUGGAGACCAGAUUAGUGAAGUCUGUGGCUAAGACGAGACACCUGUAAGCAACAAAGCUGAAAGAGGUAGAGCAUUCCCCCUGCAAGGCCAGUGUUCUUCCAGGAAGCCCACUCCCUUCAGGGUGGCUCACCAGAUACCAGAUGGGGCCACGCCUCUGCAUGGGAGGCAAAGGGGCCCUCACCGUGCGGACACAGACACAGUAACCAAGCCAGACUUCUGCCUUCACGUUUCGAUUUUGCUCAACAAUCAAACUGAGUAAUAACUGUGUGCUCUGCAAUAUUUUCACAAACUGUCUGUGGUAAAACUUCUCAAGGCAGUGCAGCAUACCCAGCAGGCUGUAGUUGUCUUGUUUUAAAGUUAACAGAUAAAAUCGUACAUGUGUAUUGUGUGUUACACAACAUUUUCGAGUGUAUAUACAUUGUGGAAUGAAUAGAUAUAACAUACACCUUACCUCUCAUAAUUAUCCUUUAUUUUUGUGGAGAAUACUCUUGUUAUCCAUUCUCUUAGAAUUUUUCAAGAAUCCAGUUUAUUGUCAUUUUCUGUAGCCAACACCUUGCAUAGUAAAUCUCUUAAAUGUAUUCCUCCUAUAUGAAAUUUUGUAUCUUUUUACAACACCUUGCCAACUUCCUCAUUACACCCUGGAAAUCAUUGUUCUACUGUGUAAUUCUAUGAGAUCGAUUCCUUUAGAUUCCACACAUGAUUGAGAUUAUGCAAUAUUUGCAUGCUGUCCUUAGCUUAUUUCACUUAACAUAAUGUCCUCUGGGUUUGUGUGUCUUAUCACAAAUGACUGGACUUCUACUUGAUGGCUAAAUAGUAUUCCAUUGUGUAUGUACCACAUUUUCCUUACUCAAUAAUCUACUGAUGGACAUGUAGGUUGAUACCAUGUCUGUUAUUGGCAAUAAUGCUGUAGUAAACAUUGAAGUACAGCUGUCUCUUUGACAUGCCAGUUUUAUUUCUCUUGGCUAUGUACCCAGUAGUGGAAUUUGCUGGAUCACACGGUAAUCCUAUUUUGAUUUCUUUGAGGAACCUGUGUUCCAUCAGGACUGAAGUAAUUUAUAUUCCCACCCACAGAGUGUGAGAAUUCCCUUUUCUCCAUAUCCUUACCUGCAUUUGUUACAUUUUGCCUUUGUAGAAUAGCUGUUAGAACACAUGUGAGGUGGCAGCUCCUAUGGUUUUGAUUUGAAUUUACCUGAUGACCAGGAAUGUUGCAUGUUGUUUUCAUGUACCUGGUCAUUGCGUGUCUUCUUUUCUGAGACUUUGUAUUUAGGUCCUUUGCCUAUUUUUCAAUUGGAUCAGUUACUUUCUUGCUAUAGAGUUGUUUGUGUUCCUUACAUAUCCUGAAUAUUAGCCCCUUUUCAGAUAUCUAGACUGUAGUAGUCUAUUUUCUCUAUUUGGCUUUCAAUCUAUUUCUCAUUUUAUGUAUAAUAUUAAUGUUUUAGGGUAUAUUAUCAAGUAUUUAUUUGUUGAAUUAUUUCUUAAUUUAAUUAUGUGGGGUUUUGACAUAUUAUUUUAACAUACAUGUGAUUAUUCAAAAGUGAUAAUGAUUGUGUAUAUAGCAUUAUUAUUCUCAAAUUGUUUAUGAGGAAACAUUCAGACAAGUUGAACAAUCUGCCUAAGUUCCAAAGAGCAAGGCUUUGAUGUAUAUCUUUCUGGCCCUAAAACACAUUCAUUUCCCUAUGUUGAAAUAUUGCCAGACCCAGAAAGUCGUGUGCUGAGAGGAUAUUAACAUGAUGCAUGUGAGAAAGUCACAAAGUUAAAGCCUAAUGAAGAAAGGCCACAUCUGGGAAGUAUAAGAACAAUUUUAGUGAGAACUGAAGAACAUACAUCUCUAGAACAAAGGGCAGUGAUGAGUUGACAAUUACUCUGAGAUUUCCUGUGUUGCUGGCUGCUGAUACAGUGGCAUUACCCAGUGCGACAAAGAAAGCAGGCACAGAGUUCUGUCACUGCGAGAUGAUGAGUGAAUUAUCUUCUCCACAUUUCAUUCCUGCCAUGACAGCAUGUGCAGUUUGAAAUGCCUUUAGUAGGAAACUCUCGCCAAGUUGGGUAGAGAGGCAAAGUUUCCAGCUAGACAAGUAGGUUUGGACAGGUAUCUGUAUACAGAUGGAAGCAGAUGAUGUACCUGCUGCCUGGUGUUUGGCAAAAAGAGUAGAGCACCUAUUAAUUUCCAGAGGAAACUCCAUGGAAGCAGUGUAAGAGGCAAGAGGAAGAUCAGACAAGCCACAGGAGUUUCAUAAUGUAUAGGUUCCUGAGACACCUUGCAUGUCACAAUAUUUCCACAAAACAGGGCAUAUAAGAGGAUAGAUUUUGAAGAGACUAGUUAAAAUUUGCAUAGUUUCAUGAAAAUGUGAACAUUUGUCAUCAAUGCAUUAAGAAAAUCAAUGCUAAUAAAAACAUGAACACUUAAAAGAUAUAAUUAAAAGCUUAAAAGAUAUAAUUUUCUUAUACGUAAAAAGCUACAAAUGUGAAUACCUGAAGGGUACCCAAUUGAAAUAGGUGAAGGUAGAUACAUGGAAAGAUUUCUACAAAAGUUCAUGAUGCUUACUUACUCUGUGCCAGCCCACACCAAAGCUGCUGGAUAAACAAUAGUGCUCAGGUCCCGGGCACACAUUGUGAGAGGCUUGAGAGAUCAGUGGAGUAGACAGAUCAACACGAAAUUAUAAUAUGGUCUGUGUGUGCUCAGUUCUUGAAAAAGUAGGUGCAAGAUGUGCUGGCAUCACUUGAAAGGAACAGGGAUCUGGCCUUGUGGAAAAGUUAGGCUGGUCAAAGACUGCUUUUGAAAAAAGGUGAAGGGGAGCUUCGAAACGGAAGGCAGAGAAUUCUAGACAGGCAGCAGCCUGGACCAAACCGAGAAUGGAAAGAACACUGAAAUGUUACAAAUGUUGAUCUGAACUGGUAUUCCUGAAUUUAAAUUCUCCCACCUGAUAAUUCAAACUUUCAGCCUUCCUUGGUCUGUAUCUUUAUACAUUUUUAUUUGUGGUGCCGGGGUUGAAUUCAGGACCUCUUGCAUGUUGGUAGGUGCUCUACGCUGAGUGAUAUUCCAAACCAUUCCUGUCCCUUUCUAGGUCCUCAAAGCCCUCUUGGCAGGGAGACAGAAAAAGAUGUCACAGGAAAGGCCUAUUUGUUAACCGCUGUGAGCUGGGCGUGACCUGUACCAUUCCUGCCCUCAUCUUGCUGGUCUUUUGUUCCAGGAACACUCCCCAUGGCCAGAGAUACGGGGAAGGUUACAUAGUCUAGCCAUGAACAACUGAAAAUUAAAUAGAUCUUAAUAAACAUACAGCUUUCUCAGUUACACAUACGUAGGGUGAAGUAGAAUUAAACAUGAUCAGCUUCUAGAGUCAAAAUAGGGCCAGUUCAUAAAGGACAUUUUAUUUCACGGUUAGACUCUUUCCCGAGGGAAGGGAUGAUCUAGCUACAAGGAAACAGACAGGAUGCAGGGCUGAGCACGAUGCCUGAGCAUCUGCUGGAAGACUCCCGACUGGAUACUUUAACUGCUAUCAAACUCAUUAUUUUAUGGAAGAAAAAAACUCAGAAAGGAAAUAGGCUGUUCCAUGCUUUGUAUGUCAACCAGUUUCCUCCAGGACUUUUUGAGGCAAACUGCAAAGAUGAUUAGAAAGACAGAAUCUUUUUUUUCCCUCUCUCUUUUAAAAGGAGCUGUGGCAUUUUCAGUCCACAUAAAAAGUCGGUUUUUCAGUCACAGAAUAGUCACUGUUGUCUUGCUGCUCUUGCAAAAAUGGCGCCAUCCGGGCUGGAUAGCACAAUGCCGAUGUUUUGCUGGGUGAUCACUGUGAUUAGGUGUGUACCCCUCACGCCCAUUCCCACAUCUUGCUUUCUGAGGAAAGGAACUAACUCACCACUCCUCCCCACCCCACUGAUGAUAUUAAUAUUUGGUGGUAGCUUUAUUCGAGGAAGGCUUCUUUGGAAGAAGAGCCGGCUGCAUCAUCUCUGCAAGAUGGACAGCACACGAGUUGACUACUCGCAAAGAGAACGGUGUCACUUUAUCUCUGCUAUAUCUCGAGUACCUUGCAAGAGAUCUCAGAGCACAGAAUACCUCAGAGGUGAAGGGGGUCAGUAGAGGAAUUUAUGACCUUUCUAAUUUGACUAUCACCCUUGGGAGAUUUGUGUCGGGAACUCUGACUAAGAGUGCUCUGUGGCAGCAAGCAUUCUCCGAGGGGAACGUGCUUGACGGCAAUGCUUUAGGCUCCUUGUGUGGGUGCCUUGUAGAAGUGAAUGAGAACACCCUGCGAGCACGGCUCUCCGCUUCCUCACGUGUUUCAUCAUAUUAAACAAAUAUUUACUAUUGCCUGUCACGUGCAGGGACUCGUGCAGGCUGGGGAGAUACAUUUUGUUCCUGUUGUCGCAUGAAUUAGAGUCCGAUUGAUGGGGCAAAAUGUUGAAAUAACAUGAAAUGUUAAAGGAAAAUACUAAUUGCCACAUUUGAACGGCUGAUGGAGUGUCAGUGGUUGGCAAAUAGCCAUCUCUCAUCCCACUCGGGGUGUUCCAAAGGAUCAUGGGAGGAAACUUGGGCUCAGUAUGCAAAUGUUUCGAUUGAUUUUUGAUGUUUUCUCCCGGGCAGAGGAGAGCUUGGGUGAGGCUUCUUAGGGACAUUUAUUUAGCUUUAUUAAUUCAACAAAUACUGAGUGGCAAGCCUUAUAAUAGGGAUUUGUGAGCAAAGCACACACCACGAUUGCCUUUGAGGGCCUGCCAUCUUUGUGUACUUUAUUAUUAUUUUUUAAAGUUGACUCGAAAUUAAACUUGGUAAAUGAUGUUCUCAAAUCAAAUUCUCUCUCUCUCUCUCUCUCUCUCUCUCUCUCUCUCACACACACACACACACACACACACACACACACAUACACACACGGAAUGACAAAUACUAUGAAGACAUCCCAAGUGUAUUUGAGUGUGAAUAUUUGGAUGUUUCUGAAGUAGAAUAAGAGAAAUGGUUUGCUAAAGGGAAUGACUUGACUGAAGGUGAAAAAGAGAAAAAUGGGAACAGUAUGCAAGGACCAAGGGAUUGAAAGAGUAUUCAUGCAGAUAAAUCUGCAAAGACUCGACUGAACGUUAGUUACCUUUCAGACAUUAGAGGUUCUUGAAUUCUGAGCAUUUAUUGCUUUCUCCUGGGCUGUGGAGAAAUAUUGAAAUUAUUUGAGGACAGGAGUGAUGUGGACUAAGCCAGACUCUUUGUCUUAUCAAGUCCUAUAAAGGGAGAUGGAGCAUCCUAAAUGUUGCACAUAAAUAUAAUUUACUGACUGCUUCUAAUGGUACCUUGUAUUUCAAAGCUUUUACGACAUGCAGCUACGUUUUGAUAAACUAAAUAUUGCCUGGGCAUACAUAAGUCUGUGUUAUAAUUGACUAUUAUAAAUAAGAUUCACUAUAGUGAAAUGCUGUUAUGACCGUUUGGCAUCUGUUAUUAUUUGGGAAUAAUUUUCAAAUGCACUAUUUUUAUCAAAACAAAUUUUUAAAUGCUUCUUGAAAUACUUGGAUUAUGCAAAGGCACCUCAGGAAAAAUACUUGUAAUAUUCAACUGGAAGUUGAUAGAAACUGACUUUAAAUAUACCUAGAAUCCCUAAUAUAGAAUACUUUUAUUUUCAUAAUAGCUGUAUUCUUGAUCAGUCUAUAAUAACUUGCAAUUGAUAUUAAAAAAUAUAUGUG
rnacentral:lncRNA from 1 species